CGCUAGGCGGAGCUUUUGCUGUCUGGCCCAUCGCAUCCCCGGACUCUCGGGUAGAGUGGGAGGGGUCGAGGGGCGCCUUGGAGACCACAGCUAAAGGCAGCUACACCAUAGGAUGCUCGCCUACUAGUUCACAAGUUUGGACACUGCCUCCAAGCGUGCGGCUCUGGGGCUCUCUGGCCCGCCGAUGGCCCGUCUACCCUUUCAGGCCUGUAGCAAGAAAUUCUGAGCUCCUGGCUACUUAUGUUAGGCUUACACUUCCUCUUUCAAAAGGACAGGAAAGCCAUUUGUUCAUCAUGGAGCUGCUGCUGAUGUCAGGACACAAAAAUCACGGCAUCUGAAGUUGUUUGUGACCAGCUGGGAAGACAUGAUCAGAGCUGGGCUGGGCUGAGGUGGAGACACAUGGUACAAACCCUGACAGUGGCUGAAGUACCAGGCUGUGUUCCCGCUGUGGCCCUGCUUCCCAAGACACUUCCAGUCUUUUGAGUAUGUGGAGCUCCCUGAAGGCUUGCUGCUGACAGGGAAGAGCUAUUGAUAGUGUAUUGACAUGGAUGAAGACGUGGUAGCAUACCAGUGUCUGGACCAUGUGUGGCCUCUGCAGCCGCAGGCUCUUGACAGUUUGGAAGACAUCCAAAAUUCCUUCUGCUUUCACACGCUCCAGGACUGUGCUCAAGGCACAAAAGGUCCCUGUCCGUCCUGCCCCGGCACUGAAACAGAGCAGAUACACUUA